GCCUAUGGGAGGCAGCAGUGGGGAAUAUUGCACAAUGGGCGCAAGCCUGAUGCAGCCAUGCCGCGUGUAUGAAGAAGGCCUUCGGGUUGUAAAGUACUUUCAGCGAGGAGGAAGGCAUUAAGGUUAAU
rnacentral:rRNA from 1 species